rnacentral:lncRNA from 1 species
UACCUCCCUCUCCCCCGCCCCCCAAGGUUUGUUAAGGAGGAACAGUGAGUUUCUUGAAGAACAUUGGGCUAUUAUAUCCAUUAAAGCAAGAAAGAGUAUAUUUAAUUGUUUCUGGUUUAAGAUGUCCCUAAAGUGAUGUCUGCUUUGUUUUCUUCUUCCAAAAUAAAAAAUGUUGAUUUUAGCCAGGCUCCUUUCCAUUGACACGCGCUACACUUCUGGAUGAGAAUACAGAAAAUGCCACCUUUAUCUUCACCUAAGACCACCUGGAUUCCAGAAAGUUUACUAUAUGUAUGGCUUAAAGUUUUAUUUCAACGCUAAAGGAUCUUCAAAUAAAUCUUCAUUUCAAAAAUGUAAGACUCAAGCCUAACAUGGAUAAAGCUGUGGAAUCCUAGUCUCAUAAAAGCUACAAACUUGUUGCAAAACUGUUAAGGAUAAUUAAGGCAUGCAAGUUAGUGCCCAGUUACCUUAUAAAUGAUAAGACUCUUUAAUGUGCUCAAAACUAUGUUCAUAGGCAUGUUAAGUGCAAAUGUAAUUCAUUCAGUGACAAGCUUUAUUUAGCCCCCUGUGUAUGUUUUCAAGGUUAAGUCUAAAGCAAAUGACUAAUAAGUAACAUUUCUUUUUAAUACCAUGUAUACUUAAUAGAUAAUGGUCAUUACACUCUUCAGAGAUCGGCUAAAUAUGGCACUUGAAGUGUUAAAUAGAAAAGGCUUUCUGUGAAAGACAGGGAUGCCAGCUCCUAGACCACCCUCAGUGCAAGAAGACAACAGAUGAUGGAGUACAGAUGAUUCUACUGGGACUGUGGUAACGCUAACCACUGGACAAGACUGUCCCAUGCCUCACCCACUGACAGGACCCUGCCCAAGCAGUGGACAAGCAGGACACUGGAGAGUUGAUUGACCUACUUUGCCUAAACAAGGC